rnacentral:rRNA from 1 species
AGGGCGCAAGCGUUGUCCGGAAUUAUUGGGCGUAAAGAGCUCGUAGGCGGUUUGUCGCGUCUGCUGUGAAAACGCAAGGCUUAACCUUGCGCCUGCAGUGGGUACGGGCAGACUAGAGUGCAGUAGGGGAGACUGGAAUUCCUGGUGUAGCGGUGGAAUGCGCAGAUAUCAGGAGGAACACCGAUGGCGAAGGCAGGUCUCUGGGCUGUUACUGACGCUGAUGAGCGAAAGCAUGGGGAGCGA